rnacentral:rRNA from 1 species
UGCACUCACCGAUAAAGAGUUGAGUGGCGAACGGGUGAGUAACACGUGGGCAACCUGCCCAAAAGAGAGGGAUAACACUUGGAAACAGGUGCUAAUACCGCAUAACCAUAGUUACCGCAUGGUAACUAUGUAAAAGGUGGCUAUGCUACCGCUUUUGGAUGGGCCCGCGACGCAUUAGCUAGUUGGUGGGGUAAAGGCUUACCAAGGCAACGAUGCGUAGCCGAACUGAGAGGUUGAUCGGCCACAUUGGGACUGAGACACGGCCCAAACUCCUACGGGAGGCAGCAGUAGGGAAUCUUCCACAAUGGGCGAAAGCCUGAUGGAGCAACGCCGCGUGGGUGAAGAAGGUCUUCGGAUCGUAAAACCCUGUUGUUAGAGAAGAAAGUGCGUGAGAGUAACUGUUCACGUUUCGACGGUAUCUAACCAGAAAGCCACGGCUAACUACGUGCCAGCAGCCGCGGUAAUACGUAGGUGGCAAGCGUUAUCCGGAUUUAUUGGGCGUAAAGAGAACGCAGGCGGUCUUUUAAGUCUGAUGUGAAAGCCUUCGGCUUAACCGGAGUAGUGCAUUGGAAACUGGGAGACUUGAGUGCA